ACUGGGGAUAUGUCCCAUAGGCUACGGAUGCUGGAAUGCUCUGUAGCUCAAAGAUUUAUCGCCACAGGAUAGGUCUGCGGCUGAUUAGGUAGUUGUUGGGGUAACGGCCCAACAAGCCUUUGAUCGGUACGGGUUGUGGGAGCAAGAGCCCGGAGAUGGAUUCUGAGACACGAAUCCAGGCCCUACGGGGCGCAGCAGGCGCGAAAACUUUACAAUGCGGGAAACCGUGAUAAGGGAACUCCGAGUGUCCGUAAAUGCGGACUGUCCGUAUGUCUAAAAAGCAUGCGAAGAAAGGGCCGGGCAAGACCGGUGCCAGCCGCCGCGGUAAUACCGGCGGCUCGAGUGGUGGCCACUAUUAUUGGGCUUAAAGCGUUCGUAGCUGGAUCGUUAAGUCUCUUGGGAAAUCUACCGGCUUAACCGAUAGGCGUCCAAGGGAUACUGGCGAUCUAGGGACCGGGAGAGGUGAGGGGUACUUCAGGGGUAGGAGUGAAAUCCUGUAAUCCUUGGGGGACCACCUGUGGCGAAGGCGCCUCACCAGAACGGCUCCGACAGUGAGGGACGAAAGCUGGGGGAGCAAACCGGAUUAGAUACCCGGGUAGUCCCAGCCGUAAACGAUGCGCGUUAGGUGUAUCGAUGACCACGAGUCAUCGAGGUGCCGAAGGGAAACCGUG
rnacentral:rRNA from 1 species